rnacentral:rRNA from 1 species
GACGAACGCUGGCGGCGUGCUUAACACAUGCAAGUCGAACGGAAAGGCCCUGCUUUUGUGGGGUGCUCGAGUGGCGAACGGGUGAGUAACACGUGAGUAACCUGCCCUUGACUUUGGGAUAACUUCAGGAAACUGGGGCUAAUACCGGAUAGGAGCUCCUGCUGCAUGGUGGGGGUUGGAAAGUUUCGGCGGUUGGGGAUGGACUCGCGGCUUAUCAGCUUGUUGGUGGGGUAGUGGCUUACCAAGGCUUUGACGGGUAGCCGGCCUGAGAGGGUGACCGGCCACAUUGGGACUGAGAUACGGCCCAGACUCCUACGGGAGGCAGCAGUGGGGAAUAUUGCACAAUGGGCGGAAGCCUGAUGCAGCAACGCCGCGUGCGGGGUGACGGCCUUCGGGUUGUAAACCGCUUUCGCCUGUGACGAAGCGUGAGUGGCGGUAAUGGGUAAAGAAGCACCGGCUAACUACGUG